AUCCUCCAAGGCUAAAUACUCCUGACUGACCGAUAGUGAACCAGUACCGUGAGGGAAAGGCGAAAAGAACCCCGGCGAGGGGAGUGAAACAGAACCUGAAACCGUGUACGUACAAGCAGUGGGAGCCUUCUUUAUGGGGGUGACUGCGUACCUUUUGUAUAAUGGGUCAGCGACUUAUAUUCUGUAGCAAGGUUAACCGUAUAGGGGAGCCGCAGGGAAACCGAGUCUUAACUGGGCGUUAAGUUGCAGGGUAUAGACCCGAAACCCGGUGAUCUAGCCAUGGGCAGGUUGAAGGUUGGGUAACACUAACUGGAGGACCGAACCGACUAAUGUUGAAAAAUUAGCGGAUGACCUGUGGCUGGGGGUGAAAGGCCAAUCAAACCGGGAGAUAGCUGGUUCUCCCCGAAAGCUAUUUAGGUAGCGCCUCGUGAACUCAUCCUCGGGGGUAGAGCACUGUUUCGGCUAGGGGGCCAUCCCGGCUUACCAACCCGAUGCAAACUGCGAAUACCGAGGAAUGUUAUCACGGGAGACACACGGCGGGUGCUAACGUCCGUCGUGAAGAGGGAAACAACCCAGACCGCCAGCUAAGGUCCCAAAGUCAUGGUUAAGUGGGAAACGAUGUGGGAAGGCACAGACAGCCAGGAUGUUGGCUUAGAAGCAGCCAUCAUUUAAAGAAAGCGUAAUAGCUCACUGGUCGAGUCGGCCUGCGCGGAAGAUGUAACGGGGCUAAACCAUGCACCGAAGCUGCGGCAGCGACACUAUGUGUUGUUGGGUAGGGGAGCGUUCUGUAAGCCGU
rnacentral:rRNA from 1 species